rnacentral:rRNA from 11 species
GCCAGGGCCCUAAAUGCCCUAACUGUAUCCAACCCCAUUUGGUUUUGGAAGAUAAACAGUGUCGCCACUGGUUAGUACUUGGAUAGCAGACCACCAAAAAAUACCGGAUGCUGUAGGCA